GCUCAGGACGAACGCUGGCGGCGUGCUUAACACAUGCAAGUCGAACGAUGAAGACCGGUGCUUGCACUGGUUGGAUUAGUGGCGAACGGGUGAGUAAUACGUGAGUAACCUGCCUUUAACUCUGGGAUAAGCCUUGGAAACGAGGUCUAAUACCGGAUACGACCAGUUCCCGCAUGGGAUGCUGGUGGAAAGGGUUUGUACUGGUUUUAGAUGGGCUCACGGCCUAUCAGCUUGUUGGUGAGGUAACGGCUCACCAAGGCGACGACGGGUAGCCGGCCUGAGAGGGUGACCGGCCACACUGGGACUGAGACACGGCCCAGACUCCUACGGGAGGCAGCAGUGGGGAAUAUUGCACAAUGGGCGCAAGCCUGAUGCAGCGACGCCGCGUGAGGGAUGAAUGCCUUCGGGUUGUAAACCUCUUUCAGCAGGGAAGAAGCGAAA
rnacentral:rRNA from 1 species